CACGGAGCCUGGAGCUGCAGCCUCGGCCCCGCCCCUCGGGGUGAGGGACUUCGCUCCGCCACCGCCUGUUUCAAGCAGACCUCGUCUGAGUGCUGGGAUCGCAGGCCCGUCAACCAGGCCCAGCUGUUGCUGCUGCCACUUUUUUUCCUUUUUUUUCUGGUGCCCGGGUUUGAACCCAGGGCCUCCAUACGGAGUACUGAAGAUCAAACUCGGUCCCCUGAACUUUCAAGGGUUCAGGCAUUCAGAAGCCUCUACAGCCACAAUCCACAGGGGCCUGGCUAUUGCUCAAGCUGAUGACAGAUCUUGGCAUCAUCCACAUGUGCUGCGAACUGAACUCAGGGCUUCAUGACUGCCGGGGAAGUACUCUACCGCCGAGCUGGACCCAAGCCAAGGAAGGCCUUCAGGCUCUGAUCUUGACUCACAGCAGUCAAAGUGAAGAGCUAAAGCCCGCAUGAAUAUUAUUUUUACUAAUUAUGUAAAUUCCUGUGCGAUUGGGGGAAUCCCCUUGGUGCAAGAGAGGAAGGGUAGAAGCUUUUGCUUCCCAUUUUCACCAGGUGCCACUUUCAGGGUGCUCAGGGCAGAGACUGAGGUUGGAGGAUUCCCUUCUGAUGAAGAUGUGGUAGCCCCAGAGGAAAAGUCAAAGGGGAGAAGCCAGGCACAGGGGUGCAGAAGUCAGGGCAGGCGCUGCGGGAAGACUAGUUGGAUCCAGCCUCAGUUAGAGCAACCCCUCCCGAAGUCAGUACAGGUUCUCAACUGGGGAACUCUGGGGGCAUUUGGCAACAUCUGGGACUUUUCUGACUGUCUCAACUAAGAACUUACGGGUAGGGGACAGAGACGCAGUGAAAGCACCCUGAAAUACACAGGGCCGCCUUCCCCUCGAAGAGUUACCCGACUUACAGCGGGACUGGUCAAGGUCGGGAAGGCCCGAGAGCAGAGGUGCUGACACCAUAGGACGCCUCUCCUCUGUCCCCUGCAGGAGCCCAGGGAGAAGUCCUGCCAUACCAAGAGGCCGCCACAUGGCCACUUAUUUCUCCGGGUCCCGAGGAAGUCUUAGCUUACAAUGCAAGUAGGUAGUUUACUUCUAACAAAAAUAAUGGCGGCUUCAAGGGAAGAGGGUCUAGGGUAUAGGAAAAGCGUCAUGGGAGAGGCUUUGUAGGGACUGACUUGGAACACCCCGCUAAACCGAAUCAGCAUGGUUUGAGAGUGAAAGAGCCACCUGAGCAGUUGGCAGUGGCAUAAAAAGAGACGUGGAGGGGAAGAUCGUGGGCUCUUGAUUUUCUAGGAGAAGCUUGCUGCAGUUAGUUUUCCGGAUGUGAACUUGGCUGUUCUUGGAUGUCGCUGGAAAUGGCUGCUGUUCUCGUCAGGGAGCUGUGAUCUGCCCCGAAUCACUUCCUGGCUUCAGGGCAGAGCCCUCACCCCGCAGGUGCAGGUUCUCUGACCUCCACCACUGGCCUUUGGGCCUUCCAGGUGCAGACCCUCCGUAUGGACAAGCAGGCGUUGUUGCGUGGGCUCUAGGCCACUGGCUGGACUCCUGGAGGACCUGCCUCGGGCUCUGGGCCUUCAGCUGGACUUGUGAGGGACACUGCCGCGGGAUUAGUUUUCUUUUCUUUUCUUUUUUUUUUUGUACCAGGGAUCAAACUCAGGUACAGGCGUUGGCACCACUGAGCUACAUCCCUGGGUCCCUUGGCUGGAUUCCUUGGGCCUCUGGAGUGUGGCUAGAUCUCUUGCACUCCUCCACAUUUGACUUUUUGGGGUGACUACUAUAAAAUAAUCCUAUAAACGAUGUGUCCUGUAUUAAUCUAUUUCCCAUGCAAACCCUGACUUCAACACUGUGAACUAUGUAAAAGGGCACCAUUCCUGAACCUUGGUUUCACUAUUUAUAAAAUGAGUACACAGAACUCGGUCAUCUUAAUGCCUCGUUGGUACCCAAGCUUGGUACUUUUUCUUUUUCACUUUUUUCGGUGGUACUGGGCCAGCACACCAGUGCUGAAUCACACCCCCAGCCUCCUGUUUUGUUAUUUUAUUUAUUUUG